GAUGAACGCUGGCGGCGUGCCUAAUACAUGCAAGUCGAGCGAACAGACUAGGAGCUUGCUCCUCUGACGUUAGCGGCGGACGGGUGAGUAACACGUGGAUAACCUACCUAUAAGACUGGGAUAACUUCGGGAAACCGGAGCUAAUACCGGAUAAUAUAUUGAACCGCAUGGUUCAAUAGUGAAAGACGGUUUUGCUGUCACUUAUAGAUGGAUCCGCGCCGCAUUAGCUAGUUGGUAAGGUAACGGCUUACCAAGGCAACGAUGCGUAGCCGACCUGAGAGGGUGAUCGGCCACACUGGAACUGAGACACGGUCCAGACUCCUACGGGAGGCAGCAGUAGGGAAUCUUCCGCAAUGGGCGAAAGCCUGACGGAGCAACGCCGUGUGAGUGAUGAAGGUCUUCGGAUCGUAAAACUCUGUUAUUAGGGAAGAACAAAUGUGUAAGUAACUAUGCACGUCUUGACGGUACCUAAUCAGAAAGCCACGGCUAACUACGUG
rnacentral:rRNA from 1 species